rnacentral:ribozyme from 1 species
GCUGCUCGAGAUUUUGCAUACCUCUCUGUGGUGAGCAGUAGGCAACACAUUAUUUUGUGGCAAAGAUGCAAUU